rnacentral:rRNA from 1 species
CCUACGGGGGGCAGCAGUGUGGAAUAUUGGACAAUGGGGGGAACCCUGAUCCAGCCAUGCCGCGUGUGUGAAGAAGGCCCUCGGGUUGUAAAGCACUUUCAGUGAGGAAGAACGCCUGGUGGUUAAUACCCAUCAGGAAAGACAUCACUCACAGAAGAAGCACCGGCUAACUCCGUGCCAGCAGCCGCGGUAAUACGGAGGGUGCGAGCGUUAAUCGGAAUUACUGGGCGUAAAGCGCGCGUAGGUGGCUUGAUAAGCCGGUUGUGAAAGCCCCGGGCUCAACCUGGGAACGGCAUCCGGAACUGUCAAGCUAGAGUGCAGGAGAGGAAGGUAGAAUUCCCGGUGUAGCGGUGAAAUGCGUAGAGAUCGGGAGGAAUACCAGUGGCGAAGGCGGCCUUCUGGACUGACACUGACACUGAGGUGCGAAAGCGUGGGUAGCAAACAGGAUUAGAUACCCUAGUAGUC